ACUGAUGGAUUUUACCCGGAUACCGAGGAUCAUCUUACACCGGAUAGAUCUCCCACAAUGUUGUGUGUGUAAAGAGGAGGAGGUUCUCAAUGAAACAGAACCACAGAGGAACCAACUCAUCUCUCAUGGCUCUGCAGAAACUGAGAACCAGAAUCAGGAAGGAAUCAAUUCUGAAGACCCAGGAAAAGAGAGAAAGGAAGAACAAAAACAAAAGGAGAAAUAUGAGAAAACCAAAGAGCAGAAAGGCAGAA